UACGGAGGAUGCAAGCGUUAUCCGGAAUUAUUGGGCGUAAAGCGUCCGCAGGUGGUUGAUCAAGUCUGCUGUCAAAGACAGAAGCUUAACUUCUGGCAGGCAGUGGAAACUGGUAGACUAGAGUACGGUAGGGGUUGAGGGAAUUCCCAGUGUAGCGGUGAAAUGCGUAGAUAUUGGGAAGAACACCAGUGGCGAAGGCGCUCAACUGGGCCGUAACUGACACUGAGGGACGAAAGCUAGGGGAGCGAAAGGG
rnacentral:rRNA from 1 species